ACAGGUGGUGCAUGGUUGUCGUCAGCUCGUGUCGUGAGAUGUUGGGUUAAGUCCCGCAACGAGCGCAACCCUUGAUCUUAGUUGCCAGCAUUUAGUUGGGCACUCUAAGGUGACUGCCGGUGACAAACCGGAGGAAGGUGGGGAUGACGUCAAAUCAUCAUGCCCCUUAUGACCUGGGCUACACACGUGCUACAAUGGACAGAACAAAGGGCUGCGAGACCGCAAGGUUUAGCCAAUCCCAUAAAUCUGUUCUCAGUUCGGAUCGCAGUCUGCAACUCGACUGCGUGAAGCUGGAAUCGCUAGUAAUCGCGGAUCAGCAUGCCGCGGUGAAUACGUUCCCGGGCCUUGUACACACCGCCCGUCACACCACGAGAGUUUGUAACACCCGAAGUCGGUGAGGUAACCUUUAUGGAGCCAGCCGCCGAAGGUGGGACAGAUGAUUGGGGUGAAGUCGUAACAAGGUAGCCGUAUCGGAAGGUGCGGCUGGAUCACCUCCUUUCUA
rnacentral:rRNA from 1 species